rnacentral:rRNA from 1 species
GGGCCCGCACAAGCGGUGGAGCAUGUGGUUUAAUUCGAUGAUACGCGAGGAACCUUACCAGGGCUUAAAUGUAAGUUGCAUAGAUCAGAGAUGGUCUUUUCUUCGGACUACUUACAAGGUGCUGCAUGGUUGUCGUCAGCUCGUGCCGUGAGGUGUCAGGUUAAGUCCUAUAACGAGCGCAACCCCUGUCGUUAGUUACCAGCAAGUAAUGUUGGGUACUCUAGCGAGACUGCCGGUGCAAACCGUGAGGAAGGUGGGGAUGACGUCAAAUCAUCACGGCCCUUACGUCCUGGCUACACACGUGCUACAAUGGUACUUACAAUGGGACGCAAAGAGGUGACUCUUAG